rnacentral:lncRNA from 1 species
GAUCACUCCUCGAUACUAAGAGAGCAAAGAGAUGAUUUUAAGGAUACAUUUUCAAAUGAGAACGUUGAAAAAAAUUAAAUAUAAGGAGCUUGCAACCAUGAUGGAGUGGUACAUCGGCAUUGAUAAGGUUAGUGCAUUGUUUCUGACAGAAAGUAACGGAUAUGCUACUAGGAAUAUUCAUGGAACUCAGUGUGUGCUAUGAUCUGUCUCAUUGUGUUGUUGUUCCAAUUUCAGUCUCUUCACGAUAUGUAGUGUGUGUGUGUGUGUGUUCUGCGUGGUUGCUUUUCUGCAGCAUCUGUAGGGGUUGCCUGUUGUCCCUGGGGAUCUGGCCUUGGCAAGGUGCAACAUAUCAAAGGGCCCUUGCCAUGACAACCUUGUGUGGUUGUUUUUUCUCUUCAGAUCCCCGAUUUUUGCACGCGUGUGGUCGAGUGUUGUAACCUUUGGAAUCAUC